CUACCAAGGCGACGACGGGUAGCCGGCCUGAGAGGGCGACCGGCCACACUGGGACUGAGACACGGCCCAGACUCCUACGGGAGGCAGCAGUGGGGAAUAUUGCACAAUGGGCGAAAGCCUGAUGCAGCGACGCCGCGUGAGGGAUGACGGCCUUCGGGUUGUAAACCUCUUUCAGCAGGGAAGAAGCGCAAGUGACGGUACCUGCAGAAGAAGCGCCGGCUAACUACGUGCCAGCAGCCGCGGUAAUACGUAGGGCGCAAGCGUUGUCCGGAAUUAUUGGGCGUAAAGAGCUCGUAGGCGGCUUGUCACGUCGGAUGUGAAAGCCCGGGGCUUAACCCCGGGUCUGCAUUCGAUACGGGCUAGCUAGAGUGUGGUAGGGGAGAUCGGAAUUCCUGGUGUAGCGGUGAAAUGCGCAGAUAUCAGGAGGAACACCGGUGGCGAAGGCGGAUCUCUGGGCCAUUACUGACGCUGAGGAGCGAAAGCGUGGGGAGCGAACAGGAUUAGAUACCCUGGUAGUCCACGCCGUAAACGUUGGGAACUAGGUGUUGGCGACAUUCCACGUCGUCGGUGCCGCAGCUAACGCAUUAAGUUCCCCGCCNGGG
rnacentral:rRNA from 1 species